rnacentral:rRNA from 1 species
CUAUGCAGUCGAACGGAAAGGCCCUUCGGGGUACUCGAGUGGCGAACGGGUGAGUAACACGUGGGUGAUCUGCCCUGCACUUUGGGAUAAGCCUGGGAAACUGGGUCUAAUACCGAAUAGGACCACGCGCUUCAUGGUGUGUGGUGGAAAGCUUUUGCGGUGUGGGAUGGGCCCGCGGCCUAUCAGCUUGUUGGUGGGGUAAUGGCCUACCAAGGCGACGACGGGUAGCCGGCCUGAGAGGGUGACCGGCCACACUGGGACUGAGAUACGGCCCAGACUCCUACGGGAGGCAGCAGUGGGGAAUAUUGCACAAUGGGCGCAAGCCUGAUGCAGCGACGCCGCGUGAGGGAUGACGGCCUUCGGGUUGUAAACCUCUUUCAUAGGGACGAAGCGCAAGUGACGGUACCUGAAGAAGCACCGGCCAACUACGUGCCAGCAGCCGCGGUAAUACGUAGGGUGCGAGCGUUGUCCGGAAUUACUGGGCGUAAAGAGCUCGUAGGUGGUUUGUCGCGUUGUUCGUGAAAACUCACAGCUUAACUGUGGGCGUGCGGGCGAUACGGGCAGACUAGAGUACUGCAGGGGAGACUGGAAUUCCUGGUGUAGCGGUGGAAUGCGCAGAUAUCAGGAGGAACACCGGUGGCGAAGGCGGGUCUCUGGGCAGUAACUGACGCUGAGGAGCGAAAGCGUGGGGAGCGAACAGGAUUAGAUACCCUGGUAGUCCACGCCGUAAACGGUGGGUACUAGGUGUGGGUCCUUCCUUGGGAUCCGUGCCGUACUAACGCAUUAAGUACCCCGCCUGGGGAGUACGGCCGCAAGGUAAAACUCAAAGGAUUGACGGGGGCCCGCACAGGACUGUGGAUUAAUUCCAACCGAAAACCUUUGGGUUUGACUGCGACGAAAGCGUUCCUUG